rnacentral:rRNA from 1 species
UGACCUCAGAUCAGGUAGGGAUACCCGCUGAAACUUAAGCAUAUCAAUAAGCGGAGG